GGCAGGAAACCGGGCCCUCGGGUUGACUACAGCGUGGAGCUGCUGAAGGAUAGUUUGCUGAAAGAGCCGGCCCCUGGAGUCUGCUUCCAGACAAAUCUAAACCAAGAGAAGGCCUUGUUGGAAAAGAGCCAGGCAACUCACAGAUGGAUGAAGAUCCAGGCCUUGAACAAGGCUUCCCUGGAGUCAGGAGACUGUGAAGUGCCCUGAAUGGACUAUCCAAGCUCUUAGAACUUGCUAAUCUGAAGAGAACAGACAUGAAGAUGUGUAAAUGCCAAUGGAAGGGGAUUGAAAACACACAGAUGAAAGGACAUGACACUGAAUCUGAGAAGUUAAGCCUCAAGUUCCAGAGCACCCAGGUGAAGACCCAGCAGAUCAUUUUUCCACGAGAGACAGAAGUGCCUCUCAUUCAGCAAUGCCAAACUUUUGGGCUAAUGGUGUUUGCAGAACUCAGUU